AGAUUAGAGGAGGGCAGCUGCCGUGACGACAGAUCACUCACACAGGCCAGUGCAUAGGUGCUCCAAUACGCGUACUCACUCGCUACGCAUACGUGCUCUUCCUUCACGCAACACAGAUACAACUGCAGCCAAUCCAAUGAGUAUCAACGUCUAUCAGCUACCCAUUGAGCAGCUCGAAGGCCUCAAGGAGCAGCUUGACAAUGAUGUGCGUAGUCUUGGGACGGCUUACGACGGCCUCUACAACGGACGCACUCGCUACCAGGACAACCACGACGUGGUUGCGCAGUACCAUGCCGUUUGCGAGAACGCCGCCAAGACGGAAGCGGCGCAGGAGGUGCUCGUGUGCAUGACAUCGUCGCUCUUUGUGCGCGGCACCGUUGUGCCGAGCGACAAGGUAUUGGUGGACGUCGGCACCGGCUACUUCCUGGAGCAGUCGAUGGAACACGCGAAGAAGUAUUUCCUAUCUCGCGCGGCGCAAAUCAAGGAGAGCAUGGACCAGGUAGAGAAGACGAUCGUGUUGAAGCAGCGGCAGCAAAAUCAGGUCAUCGACGCACUCCAGCAGAAGACAAUGGCGAUGCAGCGUUACCAUGAGGAGCACGGGAAGGAGUAGGGAGGAGAAGACGGGCUCUCGGCCAAGAAAGUAGUAUCGAUUUUAGAGGCUCACAUGUUUGGCACUUUCUCUGAAAAUUUCUUUAGCGCCGUCUUGCUGUGGUAACUUGCCCUCCGUCUUCGUCUCUUCCAUUCGACGAGGUCGUCUGCCGCUUCCCCUUGACUCGUCGUUUUUGUUGGGUUGAUGAGCUUCUUGCGUGCCGGUGUGCUUGCCGCACUUUUCGUUUGUUUGCUUGCUGAUGUUCCGAUGUUCUUCUGAUAACUAAAACGACAUCGUUUGUGGUGGUUGUGAUGAUGGCUGUGGCUGUUUUUGUGUGUGCUUCGUUUUACUUUCCCGUCUGUUGAGCGGCGGCGAAGUGAUGCUCUUGUGUUGUGCGGUGGCCCCCACCGCAUGUGCUCCAGCCUGCCCGCCCGUCUCUCUCGCUCGGUUCCUCUCUCGCAUUGCCGUCUCUCCGUGUGUGUGUGUGUGUGCACGUGUCGCAUCGUGCAGCGCAAGUGCCGUGAGAGCUGCAACGCUGGGCGGAAGUCGAAGAGGGGGCAGGAGGCGGGGAGAGGAAUCUUUCGAGCAGGAAGCAGGAUGUUGCCUGCGUACCGCAGACAAACACACCAAGAGGACCCCCAAUAAACAAAGACGAGCACAGAAAGCGAGACGAGGCACGCACGUGCUCUCACUCACACACACACACACACACACACGCAUCCGCACACACAGCCUGCACUCGCCUCACCACAACGGAGGGAGUGAGGAGGUGAUGUUUGAGGAUGGGAACGCACUUCCGCUUUGCCCCCCCCCCCCCCCCCCCCCCCCCCCCCCCCCCCCCCCCCCCCCCCCCCCCCCCCCGCGACGAUUUCAGCCCGUGGCAGCCGCAGCAGCAGCGGCGACCAAGUACACGGGCAACGGACGCUUUGCUUUUUCUUUGCCGCGGCGAAGGCUAACGGUGCUGCCGUUGCCGUAUCCUCCACCCGUUACCCUCUUGUCGCUCUCCUCCUUGCGGCAGGGCUCCUGGGUUCCAUCGUUGGCUGCAUUGCACUCUGGUAUGUGAGGGGCAAGGCGGGGGAUCACGAGGAUGCAGUCAAUGGGUUUGACGUCGGUGCUGCUGGAUGGCGCGCAUGCUCUCUCUUGUGCCUUCUUUUUCGUGCACAAAGGGCUUUAUGCGGCUGUAUCUACGCGUGUCCCAUCUCCGCUUUCUCGGUCCGCUUCACUGGCUUCGCUGCCAUCAUUUGCAUUCCUUCGCCGCCCCCCUCUCCUCCUCGCCCUUUCUUCCUCUGCUCUGCUGAGGACUGCCGUCUACACUCAUUUUGGUGAUACGCCAAG
rnacentral:misc_RNA from 1 species